rnacentral:rRNA from 1 species
UACAGAGGAGCCAAGCGUUGUCCGGAUUGACUGGGCGUAAAGCGCACGCAGGCGGAUGCGCGCGUGGGGUGUGAAAUCUGGCCGCUUAACGGCCAGGCGCCAUCCCAUACGGCGCGUCUGGAGUGAUGCAGAGGUCGAUGGAAUUGCCGGUGUAGUGGUGAAAUGCGUAGAGAUCGGCAGGAACACCCAGGGUGAAACCAGUCGACUGGGCAUCUACUGACGCUGAGGUGCGAGAGCGUGGGGAGCGAACCGG